rnacentral:rRNA from 1 species
UACGAAGGGGGCUAGCGUUGCUCGGAAUCACUGGGCGUAAAGCGCACGUAGGCGGAUCUUUAAGUCAGGGUGAAAUCCUGGAGCUCAACUCCAGAACUGCCUUGAUACUGGGAUCUCGAGUCCGGAAGAGGUGAGUGGAACUCCGAGUGUAGAGGUGAAAUUCGUAGAUAUUCGGAAGAACACCAGUGGCGAAGGCGGCUCACUGGUCCGGUACUGACGCUGAGGUGCGAAAGCGUGGGAGCAACAGG